rnacentral:tRNA from 1 species
GAGCGAUUUCAAAUGCUUACGAGGCAAAAUCGUCGCUGACUUUUAAUCAGUAGGUCUCGGGUUCGAACCCCGACGCGCUCACCA